GUGAGGAAUAUUGGUCAAUGGGCGGGAGCCUGAACCAGCCAAGUCGCGUGAAGGAAGAAGGAUCUAUGGUUCGUAAACUUCUUUUGCAGGGGAAUAAAGUGCAGGACGUGUCCUGUUUUGUAUGUACCCUGAGAAUAAGGAUCGGCUAACUCCGUGCCAGCAGCCGCGGUAAUACGGAGGAUCCGAGCGUUAUCCGGAUUUAUUGGGUUUAAAGGGUGCGUAGGUGGUUUGAUAAGUCAGCGGUGAAAGUUUGCAGCUUAACUGUAAAAAUGCUGUUGAAACUGUCGGACUUGAGUGUAAAUGAGGUAGGCGGAAUGCGUGGUGUAGUGGUGAAAUGCAUAGAUAUCACGCAGAACUCCGAUUGCGAAGGCAGCUUACUAAGCUACAACUGACACUGAAGCACGAAAGCGUGGGGAUCAAACAGGAUUAGAUACCCUGGUAGUCC
rnacentral:rRNA from 1 species